CUGAAGGGGAGGACAUUGCAAAAGAGCAGGAAUACCAGGAGGUGGUCAAUGUCAUUCUCAAAUUCAUCCUCUUUCCACCAGAGUGUGCAUCUAUAACCCUUUACAACUAAGGACCUCAAGCAACUGGCAAGGUCAAGCAACUUCAGUCAGGAAGGCAUCUUCUCAUCAAAGUGGGAAAAUAAAGGCAAAGAAUAUUGUGCUUCCAAGUGGGAUAUUUCAGUUUGAAAUAUAUAAUAUGCAAGAACAGCUGGCUAGAUCAAACUUGUAGGGGUUAGGGCUGAAUAGACUGCCCUGAAGACCAGGGAAGGUUGUGCUGAAAAUCAGCUUGAACUCUGUACAUGUAUGUAGCAGAGCACUGAUCACAUUACAUUGCAAUUAUUUCUCCAUAUGUCUAUACCCUGCUUUGGAGCUUGAGCUCUACUUGAAUAUUCUUCAUUUCUGGGCCACCAGCACCAAGCUCAAGUAUACAACUCUCAUAGAUACUCACUUACCCACUGAAUGAAUUCAUAGAUGAAUGAACAUACGAAUCAAUGCAAGGACUGUUGGAUGGUCAGUGAAACUUCGCUUCUUGACUCUGUCCUAACACAACCAAGGGUUCAGCGAAACUGUUAGUACGAUUUAUUUGGAUGCGGUAAGAAGGAAGAAGGACUUUUAAGCACUGAAAUCAAACUACACAGCAGUUUUCCUUCACAGGAAUGUACUGAAAUAAGGCUGUCUUCUCAUCAUUUAAUUGUUUCUUCUUUCAGAGAGGUAGCUUCAACUUAAGUGGAUACACUUGAAGAGAAACAGUGUGUUUUUUUAAUGUGUUAAUCAAAA
rnacentral:lncRNA from 1 species